rnacentral:rRNA from 1 species
AUUGAACGCUGGCGGCAUGCUUUACACAUGCAAGUCGAACGGGCUGGGGGCAACUCCAGUCAGUGGCGAACGGGUGAGUAAUACAUCGGAACGUACCUCGUAGUGGGGAGUAACUCGGCGAAAGCCGUGCUAAUACCGCAUAUGCUCUACGGAGGAAAGCAGGGGACCGCAAGGCCUUGUGCUAUGGGAGCGGCCGAUGUCCGAUUAGCUAGUUGGUGAGGUAAUGGCUCACCAAGGCGACGAUCGGUAGCUGGUCUGAGAGGAUGAUCAGCCACACUGGGAC